UACAGAGGGUGCGAGCGUUGUCCGGAAUCACUGGGCGUAAAGCGCGUGUAGGCGGCCAGGCAAGUUGGGUGUGAAAGCCCUCGGCUUAACCGAGGAAGUGCGCCCCAAAACUACUUGGCUUGAGUACCGGAGAGGAUGGUGGAAUUCCCGGUGUAGAGGUGAAAUUCGUAGAUAUCGGGAGGAACACCAGCGGCGAAGGCGACCAUCUGGACGGAUACUGACGCUGAGACGCGAAAGCGUGGGAGCAAACAGG
rnacentral:rRNA from 1 species